rnacentral:rRNA from 1 species
UACGAAGGGUGCAAACGUUGCUCGGAAUUAUUGGGCGUAAAGCGCACGUAGGCGGCAUUGCAAGUCGGAUGUGAAAUCCCUCGGCUUAACCAAGGAAGUGCAUCCGAAACUGCAGUGCUUGAGCACUUAAGAGGAUCGCGGAAUUCCCGGUGUAGAGGUGAAAUUCGUAGAUAUCGGGAGGAACACCAGUGGCGAAGGCGGCGAUCUGGGAAGAUACUGACGCUGAGGUGCGAAAGCGUGGGGAGCAAACAGG